GUAACAAGGGCCGUGUUCAUUAAGCGGAAUCCAGACGUCCAGUCAGUAGACCGGUGCCUGCUUGCGAUGGAUAGUGUAAGAGCUAAUCCUGAUGAGAUCUAGAUACACCGGGUACAUCUGGAGGAGACAGUGUAAGAGCCCAUCCUGAUGAGAUCUAGAUACACCGGGUACAUCUGGAGGAGGACAGUGUAAGAACCCAUCCUGAUGAGAUCUAGAUACACCGUGUACAUCUGGAGGAGGACAGUGUAAGACCACAUCCUGAUGAGAUUUCGAUACCAGGCACACCUGGGAGAAGCUUAUUGGUUAAUCCAGGGAUUGAACUCAGGUCAUCAGGGUUGGCAGCAGACACCUCACCUGCUGAGCCUUCUCACUGGCCCUCAAUUCCGACUAACCCUCCUGCCAAGGACAAUGCUACGUUCUGGAUGGACAACAGAAUAAUGACAGCAGAGGAUGUUACAAGGUCCUGAAAAAGAACUGCCAUAGUUUGGUUCUGCAGACUGCUGGAGGAACACGGGCCCUGCGAAGGGAAUGGGUGAAGUCCAUUCUUUACCCAAGAGGCUAACUUGGUUACUGUAUUCACUGGCUUCUGUCUGAGUUUGUUCACUGAGGAUCUCUGGAACAUAUGGACAGUGAGGGUGUUUUCAGAACUCUUCCCCUGGGAGAUGGAGACAAUGCAUCUACUUUAUACAUCACUAAGGACAAACCCAGAGUACUGAUCCACCCGAGCAAUGGUCCAGUGAAAGUAUCCAUCCACGCAAAUGGAGGUCCAGGGUGGGGCCAAUGAGUUUAUUCGCUUAUUUGCAGAACAUGGUUGAGGGGUUGCUUUCAGGAGCAGGGAACUCCGAAGCAGCUGUCUCCUCAGCACAGAUAGCGGCUUCUCCGUAGCUGCAGAGGUGGAACAUAGCUUCAGUUUGCCUUUCUCGGUUAGUUUUCAGGUAGCACCCCUCCAGAUCAUGAUGUCCCAUGCCGCCAUUAGGGCAGACAGCAGAAACUGACUUGGAGGUCUGGAGGGAGGAGUAACCAGCCUCUCGGGUGAGGGUCCAGUAACCCUCCCUAUCAUCUCCUCCCGUGAAGAAAGGUCCCUUCCAAGCAGUCACAGCUGUUCAGAGGAAGGUGGAGCUCUUAUACUGGGGGAGAUGACAUUCUUCAACACAGGACUUUCACAUCCAAGAACCAGCUGGGGAGCCAAGUAGCCCAGGGCCAAGGUCAUAGCUGGUUCUCAGUCCUAGUCUUUUUUUCCCCUCACAGUCCAGCCAAGUCUCUGCUGCAUUUCCCCUUGGCGGAUCCUUCCCUUCCCUGCUCUUUUGUUCUUGAUAGAUAAUGUCAGUGCAAAUUCCACAAAGGAUUCUGAACCUGAGUAGCUGAGUCAGGGUGAAGCAGGCGUAGCCUGGCUCUGGUUAGAGAUGGCUCUGGCUGAGGCAGGUACGUGUUUCCAGUUUGCCCUUCUGCACUGAUGGUAUUCAGGGAUUUGGUGACGGUCUUGGCAGGAGCUCCUUCUGCCUUCAGAUGCUGGGACACUGAGGGACAGAUGGGGAGUGCAGCUCAGGAACCAGGAGUAGGGGUCAUCUGUACUUCCAGGACGUGCCGUGUCCAGAGCUCUGAGGCUCCAGGACAGAAUACCUUGGAACUUUCCCCCAUCACGUCUCCACCCUCACGCAUGCGGUCCUCACUUUCCUCAUACAUGGACAAGUUUAACUGCUGUCGCCUGCCAAGGUCAUGUCCUUUUUCCCCCUGAGUCACCCUCAGAUCAUUUUCCCCCCACAGGAUGAGCAAGUUGGUGAGAACUCUGAAAAAGACACCUAACUACGCUGUAGAACUCAGUUGCUGAGACCGAGCUUCUGAGCUGAGGAUAUCAGGUGAGAGGAGGCGAGAGGAAACCAUUCUCUGUGUAGUCCUGGCUGUCCUGGAAUUCUCAGUGUAGACCAGAUUACCUUCAGACUCAGAGAGCUGCCUGUCUCUGCCUCCUAAAUUCCAGGAUUAAAGAUGUUGUGGUUCCAGGUCUGGUCAAGAGGAACCUUUUCAUUAAAUGGAAUUUUCUUCCUAAAUGGUUGGUUCUAAAAAGGCUUGAUUCCAUGUUACAGACCUUUGAACUGGGAAAGGACUACGGGCUUUGGUGUGUUUCUUCCCAGUACUGUCCAUCUAUUAACCAACUGCUAGGAGAACCGAGCACACCAAGGCCCAAGCUUUCUAGUCGCACGUUACCAGGGACCUGGAUGUCCUCAGGUCUGUGAUAUUGAUACUAUGACUUGUACACUCAUAAAAUCAAGACUGUAGGAAGGUUUUAGCACACAGUCUACAAGUGGAUCACGUGACCAAAGAAUACUCUUUCCCUCUCCAGCAUCCCUUUCUCUUUUCAGAGGAAAGACAUUAAAGGAACUGUGUGUGUUUGUCUGUGUUCUCCAGAAGAUGGACUACCAUCCAAAACCUGGAGCAAGCCCAGAAACAGUAUCUUUCCAUCUAUCUGGGUAUGCUGCGCCCCGGUCAAACUGACAAAGGAAACCAUCAAAAAAAUCAUCUCAUCUUUUGUUUAUUAAGGCAUCACUGUAGAAGCUCAGUCCAAGGUGUUCUGCUAAGGAAGUCACAGUCAUUUAAGAAAGUCAUAGAAAUUCCAUCUGAGAGAAAUAAGUAUGGACUUCUACAGGCAAUGUCAUUCAUCCCGGGAACCCCAGUGUAACAUUUACCAACCUACUCCUCUAUGAUUCCCACGGACGUCGGUGAGAGGGGUACACAAGCCUCCUUUCACUGUAACCAAAUGCAGGAGAAAAUCAUCUUAUAAAGUUGUUCCAGCUUGUGGUUUUAAAGGCUCUACUCCAUAAUGAAGAAGAUCCAUUUCUGGCAAGCCUUCGGUGAUUUUGCUGGAGGCAUAGCCGGAGAGCCCGUAUGAACAAACUUCUUACACCAUGGCAAGUGGUAAAAGAGAGGAGGAAGGGAGUCACCAGCCUCCUGGGGGCAUAGCUCCAGUGAGCUAAGAAUUUCUGUUAGGUCACACCUGACCUCACAAUGUCGUUGCACAUGGGACUUUAAGGUAUAUUCAAAUCCAGACUAAGCAAGGGGUGGGUAGACUCCCAGCACACAGGCAGGUGUUCUUGGCUAUGUAGUAGAGAGAGUCUCAGAUCCUCUUUUGAAUAAGAGCUAUCGCCUUCUGUUGUCUCAGCAGGAUUCCAGGCAGCCAUGAUUUCAUCCAGCAUGUGAUAUCAGGCAGCUUACUAAAGUCCCAAGUGGACUGUCUUAUCGAUCUGGGCUUAAGUCAUACUGUUCAGAAUGGGGAUGUGGUUCGAUGGGAAAGCCCUAGCUUAGCAUGUUUGAGACCCCCUGGGGGUCAACCUCCAGCCCAUCCCUCACAAUAAUAACAACAACAACCCAAUGAAAACAUCCCUAUCCCUCUAGUCUCCAUGGGAAGCAGAAGAAG